UACGGAGGGGGCUAGCGUUGUUCGGAAUUACUGGGCGUAAAGCGCACGUAGGCGGCUUCGCAAGUCAGAGGUGAAAGCCCGGGGCUCAACCCCGGAACUGCCUUUGAGACUGCGUCGCUCGAAUCCGGGAGGGGCGGGUGGAAUUCCGGGUGGAGCGGUGAAAUUCGUAGAUAUUCGGAGGAACGCCAGUGGCGAAAGCGGCCUGCUGGACCGGCAUUGACGCUGAGGUGCGAAAGCGUGGGGAGCAAACGGG
rnacentral:rRNA from 1 species